rnacentral:rRNA from 1 species
GAUGAACGCUGGCGGCGUGCUUAACACAUGCAAGUCGAGCGAGAAGUUUUGAAAAGAUUCUUCGGAUGAACUUUAAAAUGGAAAGCGGCGGACGGGUGAGUAACGCGUAGGCAACCUGCCCCAUACAAAGGGAUAGCAUUUGGAAACGAAUAUUAAUACCUUAUGAAACUUAACUAGUGCAUGCUAGGUAGGUCAAAGAUUUAUCGGUAUGGGAUGGGCCUGCGUCUGAUUAGCUAGUUGGUGAGGUAACGGCUCACCAAGGCGACGAUCAGUAGCCGACCUGGGAAGGUGAACGGCCACAUUGGAACUGAGACACGGUCCAAACUCCUACGGGAGGCAGCAGGGGGGAAUAAUGCACAAUGGGGGGAACCCUGAUGCAGCAACGCCGCGUGAACGAUGAAGGCCUUUGGGGCGUAAAGUUCUGUUCUAGGUGAUGAAAACUGACAGUAACCUAGGAGAAAGCCCCGGCUAACUCCGUG